rnacentral:rRNA from 1 species
CCUACGGGUGGCUGCAGUGGGGAAUAUUGGACAAUGGGCGAAAGCCUGAUCCAGCCAUGCCGCGUGUGUGAAGAAGGCCUUCGGGUUGUAAAGCACUUUCAGUGGGGAAGAAAGCCUUGGGGCUAAUACCCUCGAGGAAGGACAUCACCCACAGAAGAAGCACUGGCUAACUCCGUGCCAGCAGCCGCGGUAAUACGGAGGGUGCGAGCGUUAAUCGGAAUUACUGGGCGUAAAGCGCGCGUAGGCGGUCUGAUAAGCCGGUUGUGAAAGCCCCGGGCUCAACCUGGGAACGGCAUCCGGAACUGUCAGGCUAGAGUGCAGGAGAGGAAGGUAGAAUUCCCGGUGUAGCGGUGAAAUGCGUAGAGAUCGGGAGGAAUACCAGUGGCGAAGGCGGCCUUCUGGACUGACACUGACGCUGAGGUGCGAAAGCGUGGGUAGCAAACAGGAUUAGAUACCCGUGUAGUC